AUUGAACGCUGGCGGCAGGCCUAACACAUGCAAGUCGAGGGUAGCGGCGGACGGGUGAGUAAUACGUGGGUAACCUGCCCUCCUUUUUGGGAUAAGCCUUGGAAACCGGGUCUAAUACCGAAUAAAGGGGGAUGGGCUCGCGGCCUAUCAGGUUGUUGGUGGGGGGACGGCCUACCAAGGCGGUGACGGGUAGCCGGCCUGAGAGGGUGACCGGCCACAUUGGGGCUGAGAGACGGCCCAGGCGCCUACGGGGGGCAGCAGUGGGGCAUAGUGCGCAAUGGGCGAAAGCCUGAUGCAGCGACGCCGGGUGGGGGGUGAAGGCUUUCGGGUUGUAAACCUCUUUCGCAAUCGAAGGGGUAGGUGGAGAAGAAGCGCCGGCUAACUACGUGCCAGCAGCCGCGGUAAUUC
rnacentral:rRNA from 1 species